rnacentral:rRNA from 1 species
UAUUUUUCUUUUACUUUUAUAAGAGAAGAGAAUUAUAGCAGAGGUGGUUUACAGAAAUAAACUUUGAUAUUAACGUACCUUUUGCAUCAUGGUUCUACAAUAUAAUAAGUUUAGUCUUUUUCCCGAAUUAAGAAGAUCUAAGUUAAUGUUCUUUUAGUUUAUAGUUUUAGCGUAGCAUUUCUAAAUUAAAAAAUAAACUUAGGGGUGAAACGCUUUCAAUUCUUAGGAUAUCUGGAUGCUUAAGAAAUGUAUCUAGUACAUAAGACAAUGAGGAAGUGCUGAGAUUUCCUUAAACUUAGAUUUCUUGUAUUUUAGAAAGUAACGGCGUAAAAACCUUAUUUGAAAGUUUUAUUAACAUUAUUUACAUUUUUAACUAAUGGAUUAUUAAGCUAGUAUGAGAAAUAUUAUUUUUACUUAAUAAUGUUGAAAUUAGUAAUAGCGUUUAAAUCUUAAAAAGGAACUCGGCAAAUUGAACCCUCGACUGUUUAUCAAAAACAUAGCCUAAUAGCUUUUAAUUUUAGGUGGGCCCUGCCCUAUGAAAAUCUUAAAUGGCCGCAGUACCCUGACUGUGCUAAGGUAGCGUAAUCAGUUGGCUUUUAAAUGGAGUCGAGAAUGAAUGGGUUUUCGGGGGUUGACUGUCUCUUUUGGAUUUAGUUGAAAUUUCUAAAAAGGUGCAAAAUCCUUUAAUUCGAAAAAAGACGAGAAGACCCUUAGAGUUUUUAUUAUAAAAAGAUUAAUUCUUUAUCGGUUUUUGCUGGGGCGGCAAAGAGACAAUAAACUCUCUUUUUACAGUUUUUAGAAGACGUGAAUCUAAAGAGACAAUAAACUACCUUAGGGAUAACAGCAUAAUUAAAUUUUAGUUUGUGACCUCGAUGUUGGACUAGGAAAAAUUUUUGGUUAGCCGCCAAAAGUUAAGUUCUGUUCGAACUUACUUUCCUACAUGAUCUGAGUUCAGACCGGCGUAAGCCAGGUCAGAUUCUAUCUUUUUUAUUUUAUUUUUAGUACGAAAGGACCAAAAUAAACAAAAAUUUUG